GCACAUUUACGCAGAGUGAGAGUGGUAAUUUCUUGUCAUUUGACGUCGUUGUUGAAAUGUUUCAUGUAUUAGCUGUAAAAGAUAGACUGCAAAAGGACAUUUGCCUGAACAACACAAAAUGUGUCGAUUAACUAAUAAUUAAUAAUUAAUGUCAAAUCUUGAAUGGCUACUUGAAGAAUCUAAUAAAAAGCUGUUUUGCCUUAGAGGACAGAAUGAUUCUGUGGUUGCAUUUGUAUCAGUGUGAUCUUAAAGCUCUCACAUGAUGAACUCUCUACCCCCUGUGAAAGGAGAUAGGAUCAUCUGUGAUCUCCCUUUGUACUUCACAAGGGACGCUGCAGUGCACACCAAAUAUGGCUUCUACAUUGCUGUUAGAGAAGCAUGUCAGGGACAGAAGACAGGAUUUAAUGUAGCCAAAGUCAUUGUUGUUGGUGAUGUGGCAGUUGGGAAAACUAGUUUAAGUAACAGAUUCUGUAAAGACACUUUUGACAUGACUUACAAAGCAACUAUUGGAGUGGAUUUUGAGAUGGAGAGAUUUGUGGUCCUCGGAGUGCCCUUCAGUUUGCAGCUGUGGGACACAGCUGGUCAGGAAAGAUUUAGAUGCAUUGCAUCCACAUACUACAGAGGAGCUCAAGCCAUCAUUGUUGUGUUUGACCUGAGCAACUAUAACUCUUUGGAUAGUGCAAGCACCCAGAUCAGUUGGCCCAAAUGGAGCUGUGAUAUUGGGCUGUGUCUGCCAUGUCAGGGGAGAGUGUAGAGACUUCUUUCUAUGGGUCGCAUCACUUACAUUUGAGCGGCCAUUUUAUCUCGGCUAGAGAGGAACAGUUCUAAACAAGUUGGUGACAUUGUCAAAAUCUCAAAUAAUUGUGAUAAUGAUUUCAAGACUUUUAAGAAGCGGCAUUCCAGUUGUUGUCAUUAACUGAAAGUAUACUGUAUAAUCAAUGCUCUGAUGGAUAUGAUCAAAGAUGAAUAGAAAAAGAUUACACUGGACAGAUUUUGGGAUGAUGACUUCAUGAGGAUCUGUAGCAGUGGCCAGUUAUAUUAAAAUAAAUAAUGAGGAAAUUUCCACAAGAAGCAAAGUUCUAAUUCUAUUUAGAGAUUUAGCUAAUGCAUGGGAGAAGCACAAUUUUGAAGGAGGCAUGAUUUAAUGUUUUUUUUUUAUUUUUUUAUUAUUAUUGUGGAUUUACUACUGUAACGCAUGUAUUUUUAAAAUUGUUUCUUUAUCAUGGUUAUUAUAUUUGCCUGUAUAUAGGAAAACAUUUUUAUGUAGUUUGUCAUGGUUUACAUCAAGAGCAGGAGUAACAAAUGAUGAGAACCAAGUGAAGUUGUGUUACUUUCUGAAUGUUGUUAACAGAAACUUGGUUAAUUUUGUCCUGAGCAGUGGCAUAUAGACAUCCUAUUGCCAGUCUAUUAUUACUGUCAAACUUAUUGUAUGAUUUGUAAAUCUGGUAAAUCUGUUUAUAAGUACUUGAAGUCUUUUACUAAUCACGUCUGGUCCACAUAAAGCGGCACUGAUCCUUGUAAUUUGAUUGUAAUGAAUGCGUUUGUGAGGCUUUUGCCUACAGAUUUCAUUUUUGUGCUAUCAAAAGAGCAGUGUUUGAGCAGACUACUUAAGAGGUCACAUUAUAAUUUUCUUAAAUGCCCUCCUGCCAGUUUGCAGUGGAACUUUUGUAAAUGGUCCUUGUUUUUGAUUGCAUCAUGAGUUUCUUUGACUAAUAUGAUACUUACGCCAGCAACCCAUGACCACAGGCUCGGCUGCCAUCGCGAGAACAUAACAUUCCCACUUUGAGCUAAAUGGAAGGACUGUUAGAUGUAAAUGGAAGAGAAGUAUCAUUCAAGAACAACUGAACUAUUGCAAAGCAAAAAUUAUAUUCAAAUAUAAAAUGUGUUCAGCUCAUUUCAGGUCUUGUUUCAUAAGUAAAUAAAAUCUAAAUUGUUAGUAUUAAUCUAGAGUGCAUUCAAGUUGCUGACUGUGGUAAAUGAUUGCAAUUUUUUUCUUCUUCUGAAUCCUUGUAGGCAUAAGUGGCAUUCAAAUUCUGAUGAAUGUCACAUGGAAAGCUGCGUAGCGGAGCCCAUUUAGCCAGAUCUCA